UUACCAUCCUAUAUAACUUUUAUUUAAAAUUAAUAUCAAAUAAAAUCAUUUCGUAUAUAUUUUCAGAUCUGGCGGAAGAACACUGACAGUAUGCGAAAGCAUUCAGAUCUGGAAACACAACAGAUCACACCUCUUUGUUUUGUUUCGAUUAUGAAAAGUGUGUGCAAAGAAAGAAAUGAAGAUUCAUGUUGAAGAUCCUGUUGUAACAAUUGCCCAGCUUUCCGCUGAUGGUAGUUUUCUUUUUCCAGGAUUUGAUUUUCACCUUACUCAUCUGAUACUUUCUUUGCCACUUCAUCAAUUUAUUAUCCUUUUCCCCCAAAUUCAAUUUUUUUUUGCUAGGGUUAGCUUUUGUAGCUUUAACGGUAUAGUUUAUAUGCAUGGACAGAUAAGAAAAUGAUGAAUAUAGCAGGUACUUCUGAUGUAUGGUUUGACACAUCUGGUGAUUUAUUCUCUUGGUGCAGCCUUAUUAUAUAUUGUGGCUGUGCUGGGAACCCUGGAUUGUGUCUCUGUGAUUACAUACUUAACUGCUCACUGAUUUGUUCGCUGUCCAUGUUGUUGCUUAUACAAUCAACAUGUAAUCAAAGUUUAUGAUGCGUUUUAGUUUUGAUAAGAGAUGCUUUUGAUAUAAGGAUAGGCAAGUUCUAUAGAGCAAGGUUUUAAGUAACUCUCGCUAUUGCGUUUCGCCCGCGAUUUUGAUUGGUACAGGUGUUGCGACGCUGAUUGUGGUUGUCGCGAUGUGAAUUGACCACAAUUUGUUCUUUAUCAUAAAAAUGGUCAAUAACCGUAGUGGUAUUGACGCUUUUUGAUACCGUUUUGUCGCGGCCGUUUUCACGGCAAUAGACUGUUUUUAAAACCUUGCGAUGGAGUACCACUUUGAUAGAAACUUCAAUGAUACAUACUUUGUUUUCUAGGAAGUAGAAAUUUCAUGGCCUCCUCAUCAUGGCGAUUUGGUCCGUACUCCGUGCUGGUUUGAAAGAAAAAAAGGAAAAGUGGAGUGUGCCUUAAAACUUAACCUAUUUGUUGUUAUUUGGUUUUGUCAACAUUAAUCAGGUCACCGUCUUAGCAAUAAAGACAAGGAAGAUUGUGAACUUCUUCUACCUUCAAGGGAACAUUGUCGUCGACCACCAUUGAACCGAUCGUGAGCAUUGUAGUUUGAGUAUUGCAAUCCUUUUCAAUUUAGCUACCCAUUCUUGAUGCAGUUUUAUGACUUGUGAUGGCACACUUGAAGAUGAUACACUAAAGCUAGUGUCUUAACCCUUAUGUGAUCCACUUGGAAAUGAGUUCAAUGUUAGUUUGAAAAUGAGAAGAAAAAAAAGUGUAUUUCUCUCAAGGAUGAGAUCAGCUAGGAGCUUAGUAUAAACUCAUUAAGUGAAUGUGUUACUAUUACCAUGAUUUUUAUAUGAAAAGCUUGUGUGCGAGGUCAACUUUGAGAAUGAAUUUGGUGCUGCCUGUGACUGAUCAUUUUCACUUCUUUUCCUCUAUCAAGAUCAUGAACCAAGAAACCAAUAUCAGAGAAUGGAUUCGUUGUUUGGGAGUUUCACCUCUGAUCAAUUCCUGCAGAAUUUGUGGAAGCUUACUGAUUAUCUUUGAUUACAUAGUAGCAGAUGUGUCUUCUUGUGUAUUUCUGCAAAUCAAAUAACAAAGUGCUGUUCUACUUUCUAAUAAUGUAAAUGGUGAUUCCACUGUAGAAAGCUGUUAAUAUUAUGAGUUAUGAUAAUGUGCAAUAUGUUCAA